UCCGUAAGCCUGUGAAGGUCAACUGUGAGGUUGGCUGGAGGUAUCGGAAGUGAGAAUGCUGACAUGAGUAGCGACAAAGCGGGUGAGAGACCCGCUCGCCGAAAAUCCAAGGGUUCCUGCGUAAAGCUAAUCUGCGCAGGGUUAGCCGGCCCCUAAGGCGAGGCCGAAAGGCGUAGCCGAUGGGAACCACGUUAAUAUUC
rnacentral:rRNA from 1 species